GGCUAUGCAAAUAGGGUGCUUAUGAAAACCAGCGCAGCCCUCACACUGCAGCUCUGCAGAGGAGCCCAGCUCUGAAUGCCUAGCUGUUCACACUCAGUGAUCAGAACUGAGUACAGACGACUUACUAUGGAGUUUGGGCUGAGUUGGGUGUUCCUGUUUGCACUUCUGAAAGGUGUCCAGACUGAGGAGCAGCUGGUGGAGUCUGGGGGAGGCUUGGUGCAGCCUGGGGGGUCCCUGAAACUCUCCUGUGUGGCCUCAGGAUUCACCUUCAGUAACUACUGGAUGAGCUGGAUCCGUCAGGCUCCAGGAAAAGGGCUGGAGUGGCUCACAUACAUUAACCCUGAUGGUGGUAGCACAUACUAUGCAGACUCCGUGAAGGGCCGAUUCACCAUCUCCAGAGACAACAGCAAGAACAUGCUGUAUCUGCAAAUGAGCAGUCUGAAACCCGAGGACACCGCUGUGUAUUACUGUGCAAGAGACACAAUGAGGGAAUAUCAGUGUGAGCCCAUACACAAACCGCCCUGCAAGGGUGCUCAUGCACAGCAGAGGUCACUGCAGUUCUUCAAGAACCAGGCAGGGCCCCCGGAGCAGGUGCAGAAAAGGAAGCAGAGGAGGGAGGGCUUCCUGGGGGCCUCUGGGGUUCCCUUCUGUAUUAACAUCUUAGAUCCUGAGGCGACCCACAAGGGAGUACCCAAGUUCAAGGGAAAAUUCUCUGUUAAAGGCAAUCGCAUGAUCACAUAA